CCUAAUAUGUUCAAUGUCUGACACUUGCAGACACACAUUCGCACCAACCUAAGCCAAACAGGCAUCUUUCUUUUUUCUUUCAGGGACAGUCUAGUUAGACAAAGGCCACAAAUAUUUUCACUAUACAGGGAAAAACAACUUAUCUGUCUUGUUCAUUUCUGUAUCCCAAUGCCCAGCACAGUGAUGAGUCAUUAUUUGUUCAAGAAAUGAGUGAAUGAAAGGUAUUUGACCGAAAAUGUAGUAGAUUUUCCACGGCUUCAAUGCCAGAUGUUGAACUGGUUUCAGUUAACACCGUGCACUGUUAAAAUUGGGUUGGUAUACCUAUGAGUAUACACAGGUACGCAGGAAGGCCUUACAUGUACACAUCAGGAAGAGAAGCAACAUCAGGAGAGAGACAGACAGGGAGGACAUUGGGAAAAAAAUAAGAAAAAAGAAAGUUUCUUCUUUGGUUUCUUCAGCCUCACAUUUUUCUCCAUUUUUUCUCCAACUCCCCUUCUCCUAAAGCCACAUCUUUUUCUAGCCUCCCAUUUCCACAGCUUAUGCUUUCAUCUGCUUCUUUUCUAGUGAAAUCUAUAAACAUCAGAGUAUCUGAUAAACUCACUCAUAGUAAAGUAUGAAUGGUUGCUAUCAUUUUUUUUUUUUUAAGGAAAAUUAGCUCUGAGCUAACAUCCACCACCAAUCCUCCUCUUUUAGCUGAGGAAGAUUGGCCCUGAGCUAACCUCUGUACCCCAGGCUCCUAAAACAGAGCAUGCAAACUUAACCACUGUGCCACCAGGCUGCCCUGACUGCUAUCAUUUUUUGAAUGAACUCUCUGAACGAGCGUAUUUAUAUUUUAAUAGAGGAUAAAGGAAUGGGUUAUAACCUGUGGCAUUCCCAGAAGUAAGGAAUGCCAUAGAGAUGGAUGUGAGGGGGUGAGGAGAAGAGAUAUUUCAGGCAGAAAUGACCCUGAUUUAAAAACAAGAAUCAUUCCUCUUUGGAAUAGAAUAACUGCUCAAAUAGGGGACAUUCUCAUAGGAACUUUUACUCCUUUUUACAUGCCUCAAAUAAGCUCACUGUACAUGGAGAGAGACAGAGAGAGAAGCAAGCGAUAGGAAUCUGAGGUGACUGAUCCAAUUGAAAAAUCAUGUCUGAUUUUCAAACCCUCAGCAGGGGCUCUGCUCUCUUUUCAAAGGAGAAGACAGCCAGGCCUGCAUGAGUCAAGGCAGAAUGGGCCUCUCUGCUGUCUGACCACAUGACUGGACUCUCUCAGGCCAGGUCAGCACAUUUUGCCCCACCUUGGUCUGCUGGGAGAGGCAGACCUACAUUUUAAAUCAGUCUCUGUCUUAUCUUUUAUCCUCAAGGUAUAAGCUGCCAAGACAAGUCAUCCUCCUGGUUUUGAAGGAAAUGGCCUGGCCCAGCUGGCAGUCAGCCCACAAGCAGUGUUUAUUGCUCCUUUCCUACCCAAGGCCCCAGAGCAGGGUCUGUGAGGAUGCAAGGAUGGAGAAAAGGAGCUGGCGAUGUCACUGGGGAAUUAAGACACAGGCACAUCAAAGGCAACUAAAAAGGGAAACUGAAUCAGAGGACUCCAGCCUCUGUGGAGGAAGAGAUCGCCUCACCUUCAUUAUCUUUGGAAAGCAAUAGAAUUUAAGCGUACCAGAGGUUGUGCUAAAUAGCUAAAGAGAAAUGGUUCUAGAUUUCCGCUCGUCCUCAACUCAGAUUUUGCGUAUUACUUCAGGGAGUCCUGCAAGUUUACCUUCAAAUUACUCAAACAAGUAAAUCACUCUAAUACACAGUUCAGCUUAUAUACAUAGUGGGUGUGUGUGUGCACGUGCACCCACUUGCACGCUCAUCCCCAUGAGGAAAUAUCGCUUUACCUCCGUCAAGAAUUUUUUUUUUUUUUUGCUGACCUUGUCUCUUAAGGCAUUUAGAAUCUUUGUAAUAGUUGAAUUUUAUAAUCCCCACAUUUAUCUACAUUUCUCUCAAAGCUAAGUAUAUAUGUACAGUGCAGGGCAGCUAUCACUCAAUUGAGACAACUAUCAUUUUUAUUAUUAUUUUAUAUUUUCAUCCUUUUUUACCAAGAGGGGAACAAUCUCCCCUUAGUAAAAGGUAAUAGCUGCAUUAAAAUUAUUUACAGCAGUAUCUAUGUAGAGUUUAAAUGACAUUCCUCUAUUUUCUUUCUCUUCCUGUCUCCGUUUCUAUCCCUCCUUCCUUGCUCUUCUCAUGUCCUAUACCUCCCCCCUUCUCACCAUGUGGUUCUCUUUUCUUAUUUUUUGUUUAGAUCCUUUAUCUGGGGUGAGAACAAGGAGGUUGAGAAUAUGUGCAUGGACGGUGGGGGUGGCAGUAGGAGUCUGGGGGAAGAGGGAACCUUUGGAAAGCUCAACUCAAGUUCUGACUUUGUGAUGCUGGCAGGAUCCGCUGCCUCCGUCAUCCCAGUGGCUGCUUCAACAUUAGCCUGAGGGCUCAUUUCAGCUUUUCUUUUCUUAAGGUCAUCAGGAGUCCCGGGGACACCAAGGGAUCACUGAAUGGGAGUUUCAAUUCGAUAAAGGAAGUUAUGUGCACACGCUGCAGAAAUGCCUCACUCAGACCUAUUCAGCAACAAAGAAGGGUUUCUGUCCUUCUGCUUGAUCAUACUGCUCUUUCAACCUAAUCUUAAGUACUCAAGGUUUCCACUACUGUCAUCUUUCCCAAUUCUAAAUUAGUCACCGCCUUUCCCGUAAGCUAACUCGGACGACAGAGUCAACACCGGAGGGGCAAGCCCUUCUCUUUUUGGUGGUUGUUUCAUGAACGGGCACCAUGGGUUUCGGUAUUUCAAUAAUGCCAAACAACGAGAGUAGCCAGGUGAUGCUUCCCCACAUCUUUUUUGGACAAUUAAUCAAUUGUCAAGUAACCAUCUAUGUAAUUUGGACAAAUAACAACCUCUCCGGUCUCCAAUUCAUUACCUAUCAUGUGAGAGGAUAGAAUAAAUGCUGUCUGUGCUGCCUCCCAACUCUAAAAAUGCUUCUCUGCACUUUCAGUGGCACCUUCAGUUUGUUCUGUUGUAAACCAAAAGGUGAGGGCACGUGUCUGGAAAGGUGAGUUUGAGAGCUGUGACUUUGAAGAUAAUGACAGUACUUGGGAGAUAUAUUAAAGACAGUGAGAGAGACCCAGGGCCUAAAAUAUGGAUGAAGAUGGAAAUCAGAAUGCAGAGGAAUUUAAGAUGCUCAGUGGUGCGUGGGAGAAGCAGAUGGAGAAAGGGCAAAUGAAGAUCAGGGAGGGGAACACACCAGCCGAUGGGAGCUAGCCAGGAACCACAUACGAGAAGAGGAAGAAGGAAGUGAGGUAAAGAUUAGGGCUUGAGAACUCGAGGAGGAGACCAGUGCUGAUGGAUCCUGAAGUUGCCUAUCUCAGUCUCUGUAGAAUGACUCCAGUUGAAGAGAGCUGAGAAAUAAUUCUUGGGAUUAACCUAGUGAUCUACGCUUUCUGCUGGAAAAAGACCAGCUAGUUGAUGGUAUAAAGGAGUGGGGGUCAAUCUGAGCCAGGGAGUAAAGCAGAAAGGACUUUGGAGGAUGGGAAAUAAGGCUCUAGUUUGGAUUUCGUGUAAAAGCAAGGUACAGCCUGGGGAGUAUCAACGAGGACUCAACUGCAUGAUGGAGGCAACCUAGUGACCGUAAAAGGAUGACUACAUGUUAGCAAGGCCUGAAUUGGGCAUGUUCCAUAGGCCUCUGGGCCACUGGUAACAGGGCCAGCUCAAAUUAGCAGGGACGCUACUCAGUAACUGCCUCCUUAGAACUACAAAGUUCAGGCUCCAAGUGAUGCUGCUGGACCUUGGUGUCUCUCUUGCUCUCUUCCAUUCUCAGUUCAAGUUCCUCAUGCAUUGCCUUCACUCUCAGCCAGAGCAUCUCUGCACGGUGGCCUGUUGCAGCCUUGGGACCACAUCCUCAGCAGGGCAAUCCCAGGGAACAGGGGCUUAGGAAUGAGGCUCGGUGGACCAAGUUGACUCUUGUGCUAUCCCAGAGCCAGUCGUGAUCAGACGGAAUAUGUUCAUGAGCCUGAGGGAUUAUGCUCAUUCCUGGAGCUGGGAGCAGCAGAGAACAGGGGUGAAAUGGAAUGAACUCCACCCAUUCUCAGAUGGAAUGUGGCAAAAUGUGCUUCCCUAAAA
ensembl:lncRNA